GUGGGUAACCUACCCUGUACACACGGAUAACAUACCGAAAGGUAUGCUAAUACGGGAUAAUAUAUUUGAGAGGCAUCUCUUGAAUAUCAAAGGUGAGCCAGUACAGGAUGGACCCGCGUCUGAUUAGCUAGUUGGUAAGGUAACGGCUUACCAAGGCGACGAUCAGUAGCCGACCUGGGAGGGUGAUCGGCCACAUUGGAACUGAGACACGGUCCAAACUCCUACGGGAGGCAGCAGUGGGGAAUAUUGCACAAUGGGCGAAAGCCUGAUGCAGCAACGCCGCGUGAGUGAUGAAGGCCUUCGGG
rnacentral:rRNA from 1 species